GCAUAGUCACGUGUACGCUUAUUACCGCAAUCGGUUACAAUCAAAACAUGACGCGCCAUGUAUGAGUUAUUGCUAGAACUAGAGUUAGUUACAGGCUAGAACACAGAGAGAAUUUGGUGUCACCGGCCACUAUGGCGCGUGGUGUUUUACAUUUAUUUGAAAAAUAAUCAUGUACUACGAUAUCACUGCACAUUUGCGUUUUUACAAACAUUAUGACCCAUUUUCUACUUCGUUCGGUAUUUUUCAUUCUUAACGAUUCGAACAGUUUCUUUGACAUUGUAAUUUAGAAAGUUUGUUAACGACUAUUCUUUAUAAAUUGAUUUUGAUCUGAUUUUGAUUGCUCUGCUAUAAAUACAUCGAGUACAAGAAUAAAAAAGGAAGCAAGUGAGACACGGCAAGACGUUUUAUGAAAUUCAUUUGUAAGUUAUUCGCACAGCUAAACUUUAAAAUAUUUUCUGGAAUAUCUUGGAAACUAUUCGAGAUAGAGGAAUGACGUUAAUAGACAGGCUUUUUUGAGCGAGGAAUAUAAUCGUGUAAACAAGUCUGGCGACAUCAAACUCCCUUUGUGUUCUCGCCUAUAACUAAUCCUAGUUUUAGCAACAACUCGGAGACGGCGCCACAUGUUUUGGUUGUAGCAAUAAGCGUACAUUUGAUCAUGUUGGCACAUGUUCCUAUUACAAGAUUGUGUCUUUUAGUUAUGGAUGUAACGAUCCUACAUAGAUAUGAUUAAUAAUUGAUAAUACGAUUUUAUAUAAUAUAAAUUAUAUUUUAUGUUAUACCCUUGUAUGCAACAGUAAUAUUAACUGCAGAACUUCAGUUGGUAAGGUCGGACGUCUUCUGGCUGCAAAUACAUAUAAAACCUCAUGCUUGGAAUAAAAUUUAAAUGCUGUUCUACGAAUGGUCAACAUUUUGUUAACGGAUACUCAAAUAAUUAAAUAUCUUAUAUCAUAAACAUUAUUUUAAUAAAAUAAUGUUUUAAAAUUCUCCUUUACAUCUGUGAGAAUUUAUGAAAAUCUAUGAAAAUCUAUGAAAUAUGGGAAAGAAUACGUAUAUAUUUUGCAAAAAUUUAAUAGGAAUUCAAACGAUUUAAACUGAGAUUAGAAAGAGUUGAACAAAAUAGCGCGGAAAAUUGUAUUCAUUUGAUCAUAGCGUCAUUAAUUUUGAGCGUAGUUGAAAGAUGUAGAAUACCUUACACAUUAUUCGUUAUGCGCAUGUAUACUAUUUUUCUAUUCAGUUGAUAAACCAGGUCGGUCCAGAUCCGGAUAUUAUCAGAAGUAUGAAUUCACGAUUAACUUAUUACACGUAAUUAUCUGUUUGUGUCUGACAGUGUACGUUUUAACGAUCCGUAAAAAAUUGUUAGAAACUAUUAAAAAUAUAAACUAAGAAUGCUUUAUGAUAAUUUUGUGUUCAUAUGUAUAUAUAUAAAAGGAUAUACAAAUUAGUUUGACUAGAAUAUAAGAGUUUGGCAUAAAUCUUUCAUUAUUAAUAGUAAGAAAGUUAAUCGAAUUCUUUGUCGUACCAGAUUAUAUGUAUACUCUACAAGAUUAUUAUAAUAAGUUUAAAAAUAAGGUUGUCGAAGAUCGUUCUACGCAACAGAGCCAAUUUCGCUGUAAUUUUAAUUAUAUCUAAUUAGAAUUGCAUGUUAAUUACUCCGAAUACAUCGACAAAUGAUUUAUUUUAUAUUAUCGUAUAUUAAAUUUACGAUAAAGAAUAAUUAAAAUUACGAUUAAGAAUAAAUUUAGUUUAUUAUGCCCUACAUAGCGUAUAAAAUACUCAUUUUACUUAGAAUAAUUUAAAGCAAAUUAGUUUGUGAAUUCUCUCGUGUUAUACAACCUCGUAUCCAUUAUCGCUAAUUAAUUAUCGAAUUGUGCCACUACAUGCAUCGUUGCGAUGUAUCUAUAUGAAAUAAAGCUUUAAAGCUUA